rnacentral:rRNA from 1 species
CCUUUUUUUUCCCGCUUUUUUCGGAAUUACUGGGCGUAAAGGGCGCGUAGGCGGUUCGUUAAGUCGGAGGUGAAAACUCUGGGCUCAACCCAGAGCCUGCAUCCGAAACUGGCGGGCUAGAGUUCUGGAGGGGGUAGCGGAAUUCCGGGUGUAGCGGUGAAAUGCGUAGAUAUCAGGAGGAACACCGGUGGCGAAGGCGGCUACCUGGACCGAAACUGACGCUGAGGCGCGAAAGCUAGGGGAGCAAACAGGA